CUGCAUCCGAUCCGAUCCUAUCCUAUCCUAUAUGGAACUCAACCCGAAUUAGGAAGGUUCACAUAAAUCAAGAGAUAUAAGGUAUGAUUAUGACAAGGUAUGAUAUUAAAUUUUAUUCUACAAGCCAUAUGAAACCUACUUUGCUGUUAAUUAAAGAGGCAGUAAAUGAAGUUAUAUAUUGAGUAUGACUAUUGACAUAUUUACAUAAUCUAUUAAUGUCAUACAGUUUCAGUUGUAAGAGAUAAACCUCAUAUGAUUUUGUUUGUAAAUAUAUAUAAAAAAGUUGAAGACUAGUAUAGUAACCAAGAACUAGCACUGCAAUGCUGGCUUAUUUGUAAAGUAUUAAAUUUGUGUUUGGUUUUUAAGUCUGAUUUGAAGAUUGCGACGAAGCUUUAGUAUGGUUGGAGUUGGAGCAUACAAAGAGUCUCCAGAAAGGCAGUUGCUUGCGCUUAUGGUGGUUGUCAACAAGUUCAGUUUCAGUUUUCUGUAACAUUUCCCACAUCACUUGUACAUCUUCAUAUCCACAAGUUUGUACAUCAUCUUGAAGCUUCACCAGUCCUGCUCCUGUAACACACAAACAUGAUUGAAUGUAAGGAAAGUAACAUAUAUAUUACUAUGAUAUUCUCUACAGAUACUUGUCAGGGACACCUAUCAAUUCAUAUCAUAUCAUAUCAUCCAUCAAAUUAUUAAUAUGAUGAUGUAAGAAUUACACAAAAAAAAGGGUCCUGUAUGUCAUUAAAGCAUAGGACACUUUUUGAAGCAUUAAUUCCGUGUAUACUAAUAGUAAAUUACUUUGACGUAGCUUUCACUUUCAGGGCACCGCACGAUGAAAGUUGCACUGAAAAAGAUGUGGAUCCUACCUCUAUAUAUUGUUGAUGGCUGCAGGGCACUGAUCAAAGGAUACCACUUGUAUUUAUUUAUUUAUAUUUAUUUAAGGGGAAAAACUUAGGUGGCCGUAUAUGCUGCUGGCUGAAAAUAGGUUGUUAAUUAAAUUUCCGAAAGGUAUAAACAAUUUGUCAUGUAAUAUUAAUUAACCGAAAGCAAAU
rnacentral:lncRNA from 1 species